rnacentral:rRNA from 1 species
GGGGGGGGGGGGGGGGGGGGGGGGUGGGGGCGAGUCGAGCGCUUGGUUCCUCCCGGGGGGUUGGGCUCGGUUGGAAAGAGGGGGGGCGGGCGGGUGAGUACCACGUGGGUAACCUACCCAUCCGGGGGGGGUCACACGUGGAAACAGGUGCUAAUACCGCAUAACAGUUUAUGCCGCAUGGCAUAAGAGUGACAGGCGCUUUCGGGGGUCGCUGCUGGAUGGACCCGCGGUGCGUUAGCUAGUUGGUGCGGUACCGGCUCACCAAGGGCACGAUGAAUAGCCGACCUGAGAGGGGGGUCGGCCACACUGGGACUGAGACGCGGCCCAGAGUCCUACGGGAGGCAGCAGUAGGGAAUCGUCGGAAAUGGACGAAAGUCUGACCGAGCAACGCCGCGUGAGUGAAGAAGGUUUUCGGAUCGUAAAACUCUGUUGUUAGAGAAGAACAAGGACGUUAGUAACUGAACGUCCCCUGACGGUAUCUAACCAGAAAGCCACGGCUAACUACGU